AACAACCUAGGUGCCCAUCAGUAAAUGAAUGGAUGCAAAAACUAUGGUACAUUUACACAAUGGAAUUCUAUGCAGCAGAAAGAAGGAAGGAGCUUCUACCCUUUGCAACAGCAUGGAUGGAACUGAGGGGAAGAGAAGGAGAGAAGGAGAGAAAUAUAAAUAUGGUUGCCUCCCAUACAUCCCCUGCUGGGAACUAACCUGCAACUCAG